rnacentral:rRNA from 1 species
GACGAACGCUGGCGGCGUGCUUAACACAUGCAAGUCGAACGGAAAGGCCCUGCUUUUGUGGGGUGCUCGAGUGGCGAACGGGUGAGUAACACGUGAGUAACCUGCCCUUGACUUUGGGAUAACUUCAGGAAACUGGGGCUAAUACCGGAUAGGAGCUCCUGCUGCAUGGUGGGGGGUGGAAGGUUGCGGCGGUUGGGGAUGGACUCGCGGCUUAUCAGCUUGUUGGUGGGGUAGUGGCUUACCAAGGCUUUGACGGGUAGCCGGCCUGAGAGGGUGACCGGCCACAUUGGGCCUGAGAUACGGCCCAGACUCCUACGGGAGGCAGCAGUGGGGAAUAUUGCACAAUGGGCGGAAGCCUGAUGCAGCAACGCCGCGUGCGGGAUGACGGCCUUCGGGUUGUAAACCGCUUUCGCCUGUGACGAAGCGUGAGUGACGGUAAUGGGUAAAGAAGCACCGGCUAACUACGUGCCAGCCGCCGCAGUAA